rnacentral:tRNA from 2 species
UCCUCGUUCGUCUAAUCGGUAGGACACCAGGCUCUGGACCUGGGGGUUGAGGUUCGAGUCCUUGGCGAGGAG